rnacentral:lncRNA from 1 species
AAUCACGAAAUACUGUUAUAAGUUCAUUUAGUUAGAUAGCAUUACAUGUUAUGAUCAACUCCGACAAAAUAUUUCACCAGUGAAUUGGUAAGAAACACUAACUAAUAGACAAUUAAAUAAAAGCAAUUUCCUAAAUAAUUACACGAGGAAAUAACACAGUAGCCUAGUAGUUAUUGAUGCAUAGAAAUCCCACACACAUGAACAAGAAGAAAGAGCUCCAAAACCAGAAGCUGAACAAGCAAAAGCUCAUCCAGCAGCCAUUGCAGGUGAAGGAGCCAACUCUACCUCAUUAGCAAGAACAGCCACUCAAAAACCCGCCAUUACAAGCAACAAGAGACACAUUGCAUCAUAAAAGCCGUAUCCAAGAUAUUGUCAAUGUCAAUAAUGUAGGUUUUUAGGUAACCAAAGGAAUAGACCUUGCAAUUUUUACUGAAAAUCUUGAAUUAUGGAUUUGGGUCUCCUUGCUUCUCCCAGUGUUCACAUGUGCUGCUAAAAUUUGUUCACGGGGUUGCAGAUUGUCAUUCAUCCACAGAGCCAGUUUUGCCACGUUUUGCUAUAAAUGUAUAAAAGAAAUAUUUGGGUUAAGAAAUGAGGAUAAGAGGUUUCUUGUUUUCUUGACCGUAAGACUUUAACCUAAAGAGGGAAAAAGCAUAUAUAUCUUCUGCACCAAUGGAUUGGCCCAUACCUGGAGCCCUUUCAGAAAUUUAUAUCAAAGGACACGCAUUUAAAUGUUAUAUAUAUAUAUAUAUAUAUAUAUAUAUAAAGCUAACUAUUAACCUCAAAAACAAUUAAGGUUGUCUUAUUUCUUUGUAGAACAUUUGAAACAUACAAAUGAGAAGAAAAGAGUUUAAUCUCCCAGAAUUAACAAUUUAAAAUAAAAUAAAAAUAGAAGGUAUAUAGUGAAUGCUUUCUUUUUUCUUUUUUCUUUUUCAAGAAGCUUUCUUUUUUAACUCUCCUUCUCUUUUGUCUUUCUUUUUCUUUUUUCUUUUUCUUUUUUUUUUUUUUUAUUUUACAACUUAUUGAAGGUAGAGUGCAAUGAAAGAGGCAAGGAAGGCACCGAGCAACGAUCCAAGAACCGGCAAGCUAGCAACGGCAGCGCUUGCUGGUGGAUUGGCAGCUGCCGGCGAAGCAGCUGGCUCCUCAAUAUCAGCCAUCACUGCACUCAUGGAGGCAACAGCAAAGAAGACAGCACAGGCAAUCUUCUUCUUCAUUUCCAUUUUUGGAUUAGGCAGAGAACAGCAAAUAGCUCCAAAAUAAUUUAUCGAAACGUUUUGCUGAAUCUGCCUUUCCUUUGAAUACAGAUUUUAAUGGAAGCCUGAAAAGUAAUGGCUGCAUGGUAGGAUAUAUAUAUAUGAGUAUUUGUUCCGUACAUUAUGGGUCUUUUUCUUUUUUUUCCUUUUUUCUAUUUUUAGGUUAAAAGGUAAUAUAUUUAGUUUUCAUAUAUUUUUGUCGUUUGAUUAAUUAAUAAUUAACUAGCUGCUGUAAUGAUUUUUGACUUCUAAA